AGGAAUCUGCCCUAGAGUGGGGGAUAACCCGGGGAAACCCGGGCUAAUACCGCAUACACUCUCUGGAGGAAAGCGGGGGACCUUUGGGCCUCGCGCUCUAGGAGGAGCCUAUAUCAGAUUAGCUAGUUGGUAGGGUAAAGGCCUACCAAGGCGACGAUCUGUAGCUGGUCUGAGAGGAUGAUCAGCCACACUGGGACUGAGACACGGCCCAGACUCCUACGGGAGGCAGCAGUGGGGAAUAUUGGACAAUGGGCGCAAGCCUGAUCCAGCAAUACCGCGUGUGUGAAGAAGGCCUUCGGGUUGUAAAGCACUUUUACUAGGGAAGAAGGGGUUUUAGUUAAUACCUAAGACCAUUGACGGUACCUAGAGAAUAAGCACCGGCUAACUCUGUGCCAGCAGCCGCGGUAAGACAGAGGGUGCAAGCGUUAAUCGGAAUUACUGGGCGUAAAGCGUUCGUAGGUGGUUCAUUAAGUUGGAUGUGAAAGCCCCGGGCUCAACCUGGGAAGGCCAUUCAAGACUGGUGAACUCGAGGUAGGUAGAGGAUAGUAGAAUUUCAGGU
rnacentral:rRNA from 1 species